CCUAAACCUGCAUGCUCAGGCCAUGGCCGCUCACGUUUGACUUCAGCAUCAACUGUUCUCUUAUUUAUUUCCUUGAAGGGUCCAGGUAGAAGGCUGUGCUGACUUACAUUUUUUGUCAUGUUGACACAGCCAGGGUCAUCUGGGAAGAGGGAAUCUUAAUGGAUAAAACACCUCCAUCAGCCUGUAGCUGGCCCCCAGUAGAGGCUCCACAGCUAAAUGACUCUCAGAAAGCCCUCUGCAAGACGGAAAGCGUUAAGAACGCUUGGAGCAUGCUGGUGAUGAAUUCCGAUGCUGCUGCUUCAGAAAUGCGGUUGCAGUUGACAACGGGCCGGAGAGCCAAGACAUUCACAUUUGCUGAUGCAGGGGAAGCCGCUACACCAAGCAUAUCUGUGACACUCUGAGAGCCAGAUGCCCAGAAGCAAUUCCAAAGGCUGCCUUUUGGAGUCAUGGAGUAUGAGAUCUGAUGUCACCUUGCUGUUCUGUGACACUGAAGCGGUGACUCCACAAAAAGGAGGCCAGUGACAUUUCUUCUUUUGUUUUCCUAUCAAAAGAGAGCUAUGUGGAUAAUCCAAGAAGAAUUUCAAGCCAUUAAAAUAUAUAUCCGAAAGGGAGAGGCCAAAACACAACCUGCUUUGACCUUGGCUCAACUUUAUCAGCAGAUCCGAGGGGUGGCCGUCCACUCUGUGCGCAAUGCUUAAACUGCGUGCGAUGUUUAAAGCGGCUCCCGGUCGCCUAGGAUAUGUUCAGAACUCUUGGGCGAUAAACAACUCCUUCCGCGAAGCCAGAAGUCAUCAGGUCAGGAACAGCUGCAGCCCAUCGGAGGCUCUCUCUGUCAGAUUGUUCCUGGAAAUGAAAAAAGGAUGUCAAAGUCAAGAAUUGUAGAAUAAACUGCUGACUCCCCGCCUGCCCCUCAGGGACAAUUGCUGGUUUGAGAAACCCAUGUUUAGAGUGUGAAGCAAGCUAUUCGAUAUGCAGUUUCCAGGAGAAUAGUAAAUAGACGUCGUAAGAUGGAAGAGGCAGAAUGCCCGUCUUUACUCACGGACUAGUAAUAACGACGGCCAACAGGUUGGCACAGUGCCACAUAAAAUCCCAUCGGGGGAUGGGGCAGGAUCUGUUCAAUUGUUACAUCCUGUAUUUGUUUGAUUUCCUGGUGCCAUGAUAAAACACUGAUCAAAAGCAA